rfam:Zea mays cultivar B73 chromosome 2, whole genome shotgun sequence.
UAGCUCAAUUGGUAGAGCACAAGGCUGUGAACCCUGUGGUCGUGGGUUCAAACCCCAC